AUUGGAAGUAUUUUCGCAGCCUUCCAAUCUGACGGGAGGUAUCCAUUGCUGAUGCAAUGGUUAAAAAUAACGGGUUUGUAAAAUGAAAAUUAUCUGGAUUCUGUGAUGCAUUGAAAUGAUCGUCAAAAGUAUAACUAUGGUGGGGAAUGGUAUUUACACAAUUUGCUACUCUUUGUUGCAAGUCUUCAACUGGAACUGGAACUGACGGAAUGUUUCUGUAUAAAAUUCAUGGAACUCGUUUGCAAUAUCUGUGCUAUUGUGUUCGCCGUAAGCCCUCGUAAAACAAAGGACGGCCGCUUUAAUUCUUUCGUAAAAGAAUAUGAAUGUACACCCUUCUCACGUAAAAGGGCCAUCAUUGACGAAUGGACAGACGGAUCGGAAAAAAACAAUUUACUUUUGUUUUUGUUCACAUUCUUUACCUUGAAAGAAAACUUUGGUAUUGUCUCCCUUAAGGAGUCAACAAGCGCCUUAAUGUUGACAUUGUAAAUAAAAAUUGGUGGACACCAUUUUGGCCUUGUCGCACUAUUGUUGUUGUUGA